AAUCGCUAGUAAUCGCGAAUCAGCAUGUCGCGGUGAAUACGUUCCCGGGUCUUGUACACACCGCCCGUCACACCAUGGGAGUCGAUAACACCCGAAGCCUGUGAGCUAACCGCAAGGGGGCAGCAGUCGAAGGUGGGGUUGAUGAUUGGGGUGAAGUCGUAACAAGGUACC
rnacentral:rRNA from 1 species